CUCUUAGCUAAACAGACUUGGCGAUUAAUUGAAACUCCGGAUAGUUUGUGUGCUCGCCUGCUUCGGGCAAAAUAUUAUCCGAAUGGAAAUCUUCUCGACACGGUAUUUUCAGGUAAUUCUUUGGCUGUUUGGAAUGGUAUUGAAUAUGGCCUUCAACUAGUGAAAAAGGAUUUUAUUUGGAGAAUCGGUAACGGCUGUAUGGUGCGUACAUCGCGUGAUCUUUGGAUCCCAAGAGGUAAUGAUCUUAGACCGAUUACUCCGAAAAGGAAUUGUCGCUUUAAUCAUGUUUCAGACUUACUGUUCAACCAUGGUGGAUGGAACAUGGAGCGUCUCCAACAACAUUUUUGGGAUGUAGAUGUGCAGCAAAUUCUGAGAAUACGUACAUCUCCGAGAGGCCGGGAAGAUUUUAUUGCCUGGUUUCCAGAAAAGUCUGGAAAAUUUACUGUUAAGAGCGCCUACAAACUCGCUACUAGAGAACAUGACGAUUCAUUUGCAGGAGGGACUUCAAGUAUGUGUCGAGAGGGAGAUCGAUCCAUAUGGAAUUAUGUUUGGCGGGCUAAAGUUCCUCUUAAAAUGCGUAUUACAGCUUGGAAGGCCGCGUCAGGUGCUCUUGCCACUGAUCAAAACAAGUUAUACCGACAUAUUGGCACUACUGAUUGUUGCAGGGUGUGCGGCCGGGAGAGGAAAGGUUCUUACCAUGCCCUAGUUGCAUGCCCUCAAGCACGACUUGUGUGGCAGAGGAUGCGAGAGUUAUGGCCAUUGCCAACUGAUGAUGUGUUACUAGAUAAUGGUAAAGAGUGGCAUUGCAUGUGCUUGCUGCAUGUGAUAAUAAGGUACACGAUAUGGUCAUUCUACUUAUAUGAAGAAUUUGGCAACUUCGCGAUGAUGUUGUGCAUGGCAAGGAAGUGCCACCGGUUGAUGUUACUAUGA
rnacentral:rRNA from 1 species